CCUACGGGAGGCAGCAGUGGGGAAUAUUGGGCAAUGGGCGCAAGCCUGACCCAGCAACGCCGCGUGAAGGAAGAAGGCCUUCGGGUUGUAAACUUCUUUUAAGAGGGAAGAGCAGAAGACGGUACCUCUUGAAUAAGCCACGGCUAACUACGUGCCAGCAGCCGCGGUAAUACGUAGGUGGCAAGCGUUGUCCGGAUUUACUGGGUGUAAAGGGCGUGCAGCCGGGAAGACAAGUCAGAUGUGAAAGCCCGCGGCUCAACCGCGGAACUGCAUUUGAAACUGUUUUUCUUGAGUACCGGAGAGGUCAUCGGAAUUCCUUGUGUAGCGGUGAAAUGCGUAGAUAUAAGGAAGAACACCAGUGGCGAAGGCGGAUGACUGGACGGCAACUGACGGUGAGGCGCGAAAGCGUGGGGAGCAAACAGGAUUAGAUACCCCUGUAGUC
rnacentral:rRNA from 1 species